rfam:Corynebacterium aquilae DSM 44791 strain S-613, complete genome.
CGGGAUAUGGCGCAGUUUGGUAGCGCACCUGCUUUGGGAGCAGGGGGUCGCAGGUUCAAAUCCUGUUAUCCCGA